UACGAAGGGGGCUAGCGUUGCUCGGAAUCACUGGGCGUAAAGCGCACGUAGGCGGGUUCUUAAGUCAGGGGUGAAAUCCUGGAGCUCAACUCCAGAACUGCCUUUGAUACUGGGAAUCUCGAGUCCGGGAGAGGUGAGUGGAACUGCGAGUGUAGAGGUGAAAUUCGUAGAUAUUCGCAAGAACACCAGUGGCGAAGGCGGCUCACUGGCCCGGUACUGACGCUGAGGUGCGAAAGCGUGGGGGGCAAACAGG
rnacentral:rRNA from 1 species